GUUCCUCAGAUCAGCCUUUGAGCUUCUGGUUUCUUCAAAGCACCAUAACAUGGAUGGUCUUGAUGCCUCAUCUGUGACCACACGCGUGUUGAUUGGCCAUGAAUACCCCAUGCAAGCUGAACCCAGAGAAGCGGCAUCCCCUCCACUGUGUAGAUGCACAGCGAGGGCCAGGAUGUCACACGGGGAAACUCAACGCUGGAAACUUUCAGAACGACACACUUGUGUUCAAGCAGCAUGACAGUAAAAGAGCGGAGCGAGUCAGAGAGGUAAAUGCUGACGGCUGGAGAUUUCUCGUCUCUCUGCUUUAACUGGCUAAGGUCUUUUUUGUUGGUAUAAAAAUAUGCAUGAGAGGGAGAGAAAGAGAAAUGCUGACCAUUUUUCCCGGCCUCUCCAGUCGUCAAAAAACAGACGUGCGGAGGAACCCGACAGCCAUGAAAUAAAUUAAUGCAAUGUGCCA
ensembl:lncRNA